rnacentral:rRNA from 1 species
UACGGAGGGUGCAAGCGUUAUCCGGAUUCACUGGGUUUAAAGGGUGCGUAGGUGGCUUUGUAAGUCAGUGGUGAAAGCCCGGAGCUUAACUCCGGAACUGCCAUUGAUACUGCUUAGCUUGAAUCAGGUCGAGGUGGAUGGAAUAUUACAUGUAGCGGUGAAAUGCUUAGAUAUCUGGAGGAAUACCGGUGGCGAAGGCGGCAUCCUGGACCGACAUUGACGCUGAGGAGCGAAAGCUAGGGGAGCAAACGGG